UUGAAGUAAGAGAAAGUGGGGGAGCUUUCUAGAGUGAGAAAGUGAGCUUUUGAGGGCUUUUAAAAGGGCUUUCUCCUUGUGAGGCAAGGUCGAUGGCGGGGGCAUCCAGUACUCGGGAGUUUGAUGAUGUGCCUCGAUGGCCACACGUCGUGUAGCUAGGGCUGCUUGUGGCCUACGGAUGAGAAACCCUGUAGGCAAUGAUACCCCAGAGGGUGCCAUUAUCAUUGUUGAUGAUGAACCACCUGUGGCAGUGGUUGAGGAGGAACUCGGGCAUGCGACUAACAUCAAUCCGAAUGAACCAUCGUCUUCGUCUCAACCACCAUAGUCAGAGAGUGGAACGAGGAUGUUACCCUACUCUGGUCGGGUUCUCUUUACGCCCCCCUGGUUUACUCGCAGGGGCAUUGUUUCUGAGCAGCUAAGGAUCCUCUUUUCCACACAGGGGGUUAAAUUACCUGAGUGCUAACAUUGGCGUGUUGGAAUAUGGGAAAGAGCUCCUAAAAGGUCGUUCACUGUCUCCUUGGAAAAUCCUCACUCGAGGAGUUGAUACAACUUCUUGAUCUUUUAGAGAGGACCGUGACAAAUUUGACGGCCUUUGGAGUUCUUGAGGCUUCUAAGCUCAAGAAUAUUAUGGGGGAAUUCGCUCAAGAGGCGGGAUAGAUCUUGAAACUGGAAAGGCUGAUUUUCCCGACGACGAAUCCAUCCAUUGGUAUUUUGCUUGAUUUUUACUCGAAUCAACCCUCCAUCUUUGGCUACGCAGAAGGUCUUCUGGAGAAGUUGAAGGGUGAAUUGGCAUACAAGGAAGGCUUUCACCCAACCGUCGAGGCCCAUUCACUGAAGGAAGGGGAGGAUGCUGCGCUUGGUGGGAUUUCACUUUGUGACAAUGAGGCUAGUAUGAUCGUCCUUAGACAUCAUAUUGCUGAGACAGAGGCCUUAUUAUCUCGGGUUCACGAGGAAAUGGGUGAUCUCCCACCAACGGACUAGGAAUCAGGUGCAUUCCCCUUGUUAGCUAGGGAUGCAGGCUUUCUCAAAGAUAGGCUGGGCAUUAGGCAACGCGUAUUCACCGAGAUUGGCUCUCACAAGGAGUGAUUGACAAAUCACUCUUGUUUCGUUGUGCUUUCCUUGCCAUUGGGACCCCAUUUUUUUUUUUUUGCUUUUUUGUUCACCUUUCUUGUUUUUAAUCUCAAUGUAAGGCUUUAGGCCGUGGUUUGAGAAUGCAUGUUUCUCUCUUAAAAAGGCAUUUUCGAGAUUGCGGGACUCCAACUUGUAACGUCUAUUUUGUGAUGGAAUGGAAGCCUUUUCCCUCUUACUUUAAA